AUGAACGCUAGCGACAGGCCUAACACAUGCAAGUCAGGGGCAGCACAAGGAGCAAUCUGAGGUGGCGACCGGCGCACGGGUGAGUAACACGUAUGCAACCUGCCUGUAAGCGGGGAAUAACCCGUUGAAAGACGGACUAAUACCGCAUAAUACUAAAUUACUGCAUGGUAAUUUAUUUAAACAUUUAUGGCUUACAGAUGGGCAUGCGCAUGAUUAGCUAGUUGGAGAGGUAACGGCUCCCCAAGGCAACGAUCAUUAGGGGUUCUGAGAGGAAGGUCCCCCACACUGGUACUGAGACACGGACCAGACUCCUACGGGAGGCAGCAGUGAGGAAUAUUGGUCAAUGGACGAGAGUCUGAACCAGCCAAGUCGCGUGCAGGAAGAAUGUCCUAUGGAUUGUGAACUGCUUUUGCAGGGGAAUAAAGUGCAUCACGUGUGAUGUUUUGUAUGUACUCUGCGAAUAAGGAUCGGCUAACUCCGUGCCAGCAGCGGC
rnacentral:rRNA from 1 species